rnacentral:rRNA from 1 species
GACGAACGCUGGCGGCGUGCUUAACACAUGCAAGUCGAACGAAGUGGCGGACGGGUGAGUAACGCGUAAUCAACCUGCCCUUCAGAGGGGGACAACAGUUGGAAACGACUGUUAAUACCGCAUACUGAAGGAGGGGAUUGCGUGUGAUUAGCUGGUUGGAGGGGUAACGGCCCACCAAGGCGAUGAUCAGUCGCCGGGCUGGGGGGGUGAACGGGCAAAUUGGGAAUGAGACAAGGCCCAGACUCCUACGGGGGGGAGCAGUGGGGGAACUUCCGCAAUGGACGAAAGUCUGACGGAGCAACGCCGGGGGAGUGAUGACGGCCUUCGGGUUGUAAAGCUCUGUUAAUCGGGACGCGGUACCGGAAUAGAAAGCCACGGCUAACUACGUGCCAGCAGCCGCGGUAAUUC